AACCUGCCCAAGAGAUCGGGAUAACACCUGGAAACAGAUGCUAAUACCGGAUAAUAAUAGAUGAUGCCUAUCAACUGUUUAAAAGAUGGUUCUGCUAUCACUCUUGGAUGGACCUGCGGUGCAUUAGCUAGUUGGUAGGGUAACGGCCUACCAAGGCGAUGAUGCAUAGCCGAGUUGAGAGACUGAUCGGCCACAUUGGGACUGAGACACGGCCCAAACUCCUACGGGAGGCAGCAGGU
rnacentral:rRNA from 1 species